rnacentral:rRNA from 1 species
CAGCAGCCGCGGGAAUACGUAGGGUGCAAGCGUUAAUCGGAAUUACUGGGCGUAAAGCGUGCGCAGGCGGUUAUAUAAGACAGAUGUGAAAUCCCCGGGCUCAACCUGGGAACUGCAUUUGUGACUGUAUAGCUAGAGUACGGCAGAGGGGGAUGGAAUUCCGCGUGUAGCAGUGAAAUGCGUAGAUAUGAGGAGGAACACCGAUGGCGAAGGCAAUCCCCUGGGCCUGUACUGACGCUCAUGCACGAAAGCGUGGGGAGCAAACAGGAUUAGAUACCCCCGUAGUCCCUGUCUCUUAUAC